GCGGUAGAGCAGCCCGGUAGCUCGUGAGGCUCGUAGCUGGGAGGUCGCGGGUUCGAAUCCCGCCCGCA
rnacentral:tRNA from 1 species